GCCGGGGUGGCGGAACAGGCAGACGCACAGGACUUAAAAUCCUGCGGAGAGUGAUCACCGUACCGGUUCGAUUCCGGUCCUCGGCACCA
rnacentral:tRNA from 1 species